rnacentral:rRNA from 1 species
UUGACAUCCAGAGAACUUAGCAGAGAUGCUUGUGCCUUCGGGAACUCUGAGACAGGUGCUGCAUGGCUGUCGUCGGCUCGUGUUGUGAAAUGUUGGGUUAAGUCCCGCAACGAGCGCAACCCUUAUCCUUUGUUGCCAGCGAUUCGGUCGGGAACUCAAAGGAGACUGCCGGUGAUAAACCGGAGGAAGGUGGGGAUGACGUCAAGUCAUCAUGGCCCUUACGAGUAGGGCUACACACGUGCUACAAUGGCGCAUACAAAGAGAAGCGACCUCGCGAGAGCAAGCGGACCUCACAAAGUGCGUCGUAGUCCGGAUCGGAGUCUGCAACUCGACUCCGUGAAGUCGGAAUCGCUAGUAAUCGUGGAUCAGAAUGCCACGGUGAAUACGUUCCCGGGCCUUGUACACACCGCCCGUCACACCAUGGGAGUGGGUUGCAAAAGAAGUAGGUAGCUUAACCUUCGGGAGGGCGCUUACCACUUUGUGAUUCAUGACUGGGGUGAAGUCGUAACAAGGUAGGCGUAGUGCU